UGAGGACACAAUAAGAAGUCUGUGACCUGGAAGAGGGCUCUCACCCUGCUGGCACCUUGAUCUCAGACUUACAGGCUCCAGAACUGUGAGAAAUCACCUUCUUUUUUUAUCAGCCAUCCAGUCUUUGGUAUUUCGUUAUAGCAUCCCGAGUGGCCCAAGACCCCCAGCCAGAGAGCAGUACAGCUGGAAGUCACAGCUGUACUUACAUGCCCACUCUUCCAUCUCAUCCUCCCCAAAAUAUCUGAGAUAGAUGGUUGUCGUUUUCAGAUGAAGAAACAGUCCCAUAAGUUAAGUGACUUGCUGAGGAUACAAUUAAUUUCAGGAGACGUUUUCAUUCCAUUUAGAAACCAGACCUUAUUAUUGAUUAUUUAGAUGUGUUUCUUUUCCUUUCCUUAGGCCUUACAACCUGGUGACAUGCCAAAGAAUGUAUUGGGAUCGGGUGUGAGGAAGAUCCCUAUGUGGAAACCCUAAGCCCCAAUGUGGCUGAAGAUGGAGCCUCUAAAGAAUGUUCAGUAAAUGUUGAAUGAGUGGACGAAAGGCAGGCUUGGAGAAGUUAACUAAUCAGUGUGCUCCUAGUACGUGAUGCAGGUAAGUGAUGGAGCCCGGUGUCCACAGGUCCCCACCCGUUGUUGCUUGUAUGAUAC